rnacentral:rRNA from 1 species
CCUACGGGUGGCAGCAGUGAGGAAUAUUGGUCAAUGGGCGAGAGCCUGAACCAGCCACGUCGCGUGAAGGAUGAAGGAUCUAUGGUUUGUAACCUUCUUUUAUAUGGGAAUAAAGUGUGGCACUUGCUCCUUUUUGUAUGUCCCAUAUGAAUAUGCCUCGGCUAACUCCGUGCCAGCAGACGCGGUAAUACGCAGGAUGCGAGCGUUAUCCGGAUUUAUUGGGUUUAAAGGGUGCGUAGGUGGUUAAUUAAGUCAGAGGUGAAAGUUUGUGGCUCAACCAUUAAAUUGCCGUUGAAACUGGUUGACUUGAGGAUAGUUGAGGUAGGCGGAAUGCGUGGUGUAGCGGUGAAAUGCAUAGAUAUCACGCAGAACACCGGUUGCGAAGGCAGCUUACUAAACUGUAACUGACACUGAAGCGCGAAAGCGUGGGGAUCAAACAGGAUUAGAUACCCUAGUAGUC